rnacentral:lncRNA from 1 species
GAGAUGGUGUCUUUUGGAGUACACCUUUAUUUCUCCAAGUCACUCUUGCCUAGGUCUGACAAGAGUCCUCAGGCCAUGGUGUGACAAACCAAGGGAUCUAAAGCUGUCAACAGCUACUGUUUUUAUAAUAUUCAAAAAAAAAAAAAACCUCAGUAGAAACCACUUGAUAAAAUAUGUGUGUUUCUUCCCAUAGCAAAUGGGAAAGAAGUAAUUUUCUUUUGUUCAUCUCAUUAAUCUAUAAUAACAUAUCAGCUCAAGAAUAAAAUAAUCGUUAUCCCUCUAUUAUUAUACUGUAAAUGAAACAAUGUACAUUGAAAAUAUAGCAUACUUGGGAUAGUUAAUAUUAUCAACAAGGUCUAGGGUCAGUCAGUGAGGAGUGCCUCUGAGCAUAGCUGUGAGGGAUUGCUUAGAUCCGAUAAGCUUUAACCAGUGGGCCUGAGAAAUGGUUUUUCUUUAUUAUGAUAACUCAAGUGUGGAGAAAUACACUGCCUGUGAGUGGCACUUUCCAGCAUAGACCCAAAUACAAGGAGGUUUGAUAGAAGACUUUGGUUUGUUGGGUUAUCACAUCUUUGCUCACAAGUCCUCUACUCUGUUGAUGCUGUCCUGUACUCAUGUGAGAACCUGCUUUUUUUUCUUUUCUUUUUUCUUUCUUUAUUUCUUUCUUUUUUUUUUUUUAACUUUCCAAUGUUCACUGAGGACCUGCUAACUUCCAGAAAUCCCCCAGGCAUAGCUCUAGAUUGAGACUUGAAAGGCAUCCAGCCUUGUAGAUGGAUGGUUCUCAGGUUCAUGGAAACAGACGUUUUGGGGUACCCUUUCCUUGUCAUGUAGCCACUCUAAUAAAUUCCAUUAUAAAAUAUGUUCAUUUGUCUCUUCUAUACCUCUAAAAAAACCCUAAAAACAACAUGUUCUUUUUAUAAAGCUCAGGCCUCCCUCUCUUCUCUAUGCAACAGAUGUUUGAGCAGAGAGGAACAUCUGGAACAUCAGUGUUGUCCAUUAAGUUCACAUAAUGGGUUCACUGUUGGUUGUACGUGUUGGGUUUAGAGCUGACUGGACAGAUGCAAAAUAUCUCUUAGAAGUGAAAGCUGAGAAUGAGGAGAUCCGUGCCAUAAGGCAUCAUUCCCACCAACCGCCACAGAACCCAUAGAGCAGAUUGUUACCAGUACAGUGGGUGCAUCUAUCAAGUCCUGCAUUUAUAUGUAUGUCAAUUAAACAUUUGUAAACAUAGAGAAAACUGAAGCUCCGGGGAUUUUUCUAGCACAAAACAGUUCAGAAAAUUCAGAUAGAAAUUUGAAAUAAAAAAAAAGUUGGAAUAAUUAUAGCCUUCUUUCCUUUGCAUUUUCUAGUUCACAAAAAAAUCUGCUGAGGGUAUGGCUUAUGGUGAUGGCCUGAAACUGAAAUGCCUGCUCUGUAACUGAUAUCAGUAUUUUAUUUAUUGAAGAUAUUCUCUAGAAACAUGGUUUAAAUAGGCCUAUAAUAAUUAGCUAAUUUAGUGGCAUUUGGUUGGUUAUUUUACCAUUUCAUAUAUAAAGGUGAUCAAUUCUAUUUAAAUAGAAUUCCAUAAUAAAUGCAUUUAUGAUGCUGUUUUUAAAAAGAUAUUUAAUAGUGUUUUAUUUAUAGGCAAUAAUAGUAAUAAUAAUAAUACCUUCUUUUAUUACAUAGUUUAACUGAGAAGAUGAAAGAAA